rnacentral:rRNA from 1 species
CACUGCCAGAGCCAUAUCUCCCUGAAGUUCUCACCUAGUUGCCCACUGAAGCUAAGCAGGGUUGAGGCUGGCCAGUACCUGGAUGGGAGACCUCCCAGGGAAAACAAGGUUGCUGCUGUGU